AAAAUGAACAAAGCGCUUAGUUGGGUUUUUGGUACGAUUUCCGGCGCAACGAUUGAACUUUUUCGAGCGUAAAUCAUCGUUGCUUUAAGCAAUCAUAAUAGAGAUUUUCACUUAUCACCACUUUCGAAAUACAACGUUUACAAUACAACAAAUACAACAAGUUUCUGUGAAUCAUAGAGUUUUUUGGUUUCUUUUUUUUCUCCAAAGUCUCUUCUUUUUAUCCGUAUUUCUGUGCGAGGAAUAGAAACCCAUGAUUUUUUGCUUGAUCAGUACACAAAUCGAGACUUAACCGUCUCGUGACGUAAAAGUGUACAAAUUAACACGGUAUUUGAAAAAAAUUCCUGCCCCUAUUAUUUCUGACACUUUAUUAAUGCGGGUCAUAUCUCUUGUCGGCGGCCGUUAUUGUUUUUUUCAUGUUAGAAAACGGGCAACAAAAUUGGUCUUGGCAUAUUUCAAGUGCCCGAAAUAUUAUGACAUUACCGUUUUCCAAAUUUCUACUCUUCGAGUAUUAUUUUUUUUAGUAUCUUGUGUGUUAUCUUAACGUUGAGAUAAUAUCGCUCUCUAUUGUUCACUCUUUUCUAUCUAAAUCUCUCUCGAAGAGAAAGAAAUAUUGGUUCUAUGAUCACAAAUUAACAUACAUUUAAGAUAAAGUUCCGCAAUAAUUAAAAAGUUGAAUUUCGAAAGUUAGUCAACGAAGUACGUCGCAUUGUGGAUCUUGACUUCAUUGAAUUGCUUUAAGGCCAUUCAGAAAGGUUAUUCAAGUGGUUCUGAUAUACUUUGUCUUCUCAAAUUGUCUUUAAGCAAUCGACCACGGGACAAUUAUAUCUUCUAUUUAAAUAAUUUAAUACUUCGCUAUUAAUGCCGUACAAUAUUAGAGAGAAUAUUCUGCGUGUAAUAAGCUCUUUAAAAUCAGGUCGCUCUGCCUUUGAACGUUCAAAGCGAAAAAGCUUUUCUGGAAUAAGCAUGAUUGAGUGAAUGACAGCAUAGAGAAAUUUGUAAAAAAGUAUUGAAAAUCUUUUUCGCGUAUUUUCUGUUUCUUUCAUAAAGGACGCGAGAAAAAAUUUCAGCAAUUUCUGUUAUAAUUCGUGAGAUUUUUUGUGCAAUUCGGCUUUUAGGUGUAAGUGUUGAAAAGUACUAUUUUUCCUAUGAUGAACUCUUUCCCAAAGAAAAUAAAUCUUGAUUUAAUCGUUUAUUUUACGAUAUACUCAAAAAUUCGCGGACAAAUAUUACAUUGCUUACGUAAUAGAUUUGUUAAUGUAUUUAUUAGUAACAUUGUUAUUUUUAUUCUUUUCGCGAAUUCUUCUCGAUGUUCCAACGACAUGGCGGCAGUGCGAGUUAUCUGCAUCUCUUGUCGCUCCGUACCUCGGGACAAACGGGAAAGAAGUUUCUUUGAGUAAAGUUUCGCAUUUCUUUCUGCUUUACUUGCGCGGAGUCACGACUCUCUUUUUCCUCUUAGUUAUUUUCCUUCUGCCGUUUCACAGUAAUGGAGCAAGGACACUGUUUUAUAGCGGCUCGCAGUUUUGCUGCGACCGCGACGGCAUGAUAACCUGCGAGUUGAAACGCAAUGAAUUGCGCCUGUGAUAGUGUUGCGCCACAGUACACAUUUUGAAAUCUCGCAUUUUCCGCUUUUAUUAACAAUUGCUUCACAGCGGUCGCGUUGUGACGUAUGUGUCGCGGAAAAUUGGCGUGAUUGUCGAAUGCAUCGUUGCGAAAGUGUGAAUUUUCGUCGAUUUUGUUUCGCUGAUAAAUUAAAAUUCGAUCCGUUUUGAAAGGCCAAAUGACGCGUGUCAGCUCUCGUUAAGUUUAUUCUAUUUUAUAAUUAAUGAAGCUUAUAAUUGGCACACUAGUUAAACAGAUUUACAAUGAGAAUUAUUUAAUGCAUAUUUCUGAUGCUAGAAAAUACAUGGUAGAUAUGAAAUAAAACGCGGGAGCGAGUGGAAUAUCCGCAAAUGCUCUUACUUGGAAAAUUUCUCAUCAUCUUCUAUAUACGAUUAAUUUAAAUACGCAUAUAAUGCACUAUCCUGUCAUGUAUAUUCAGAUCACCGAUUUAAUCUGUAAAAAAUCGAUUGCAAUUUAAACACCCUUUUCUUUUUUCCAUCCAUCUCUCGAUGAAAAAAGCGUUUCUUAAACACCUCAUUCUUGUUUGUGAAAAAUACAUGAACAAAAUUCAACUGAUUAUUUUUAAGUAAAGAACGAUAUUUUCGUUUUUUUAGAUUGUUUCCCAAACCUACAAAAGAUCCAUUUAUAAGUUCCAAACAGAUGCCAUUGGAAUUCGAUCACAGAAGUGUCUUAAUUGGUGUAACUUCUCAGAAAAGAGAGUUGCCUGCGGCGAACAAACUCGCGGUUGUUUGAACUCCAGCAAAGCUCUAGUGCUUUCUGUGAAACGUUAGAGGGAUGGGAAUAAAUACGACCAAGAUCUUGUUUAUUUCAUUCUUCGAAGACAAACUGGUAAAACAACUGUUUGAAGUACACUUCUCGAAGUGACAGUACAUAUUUGAGCUCGUGCAUUUGACAUUACGUCCAUAAGUAAUGUAAUUUUAUACUUUGUUUUUUUUUUUCUAUAUUUCUAUACUUAUGCAGUAUAAACUUGUGCAGAUAACACAUAAUUAUUCUAUAAAAACUGAAAUUAAACUAACGAUAAGAUCAAAUAUUUAUCAUCCACUAGAAACAAUUGAUUUUUAGUUUAUGGGUUGGUUUUCUCGCGUGUUAGUAGUGUCCAAUUUAGUUGUAAGGGUCAAGACCUAAGUUGAGAAUCCAUUAUGUUCUAACGAGAUUGCCCUGCUGUCCGAUAUUGCUCCCAACAAUUUGUUACUUAAGUGUACGCCUUGGAAACGCUUCCCAAAGUAUUGAAAUGACGGGAACGAUCGUGAGAAGCUAAAAGCGUUUUGAUUCAAAACGGGAUGUAUAAAGUUGCGCAAUGAGUUGGGUAAAAACGUCGCGUGACUGUUAUUACAUAGCAUUAUUACAAAGCGUGGAAAUAUGUCCUAGCAUUUGUGCAAGGUUGACAUGCGACUGCUGGAAGCCUUGGAAUGAUGUCUUUGUUUUUCCUCACUUUUGUGAUUUCGUUGGCUAUCGAACACGAGCAUUAUUUAUUCUAACGUAAAUGCAUACAAAUUUGAAUAAUCGCGUAUUGUAUAUUGGAAUUUGUUUAAACGUACAUAUUCUCGUAAAUAUCGUAAUCAAAGAGAAAUUACACAUAGCACAAUUCAAACAAUACUUGGAUAAAAUAAACCGUAUACAAUUUAUUGUAUAAUUUAUCGAAAGAUUUUGACACAUAUUUAUGGAAGUUACAUUGAAACAAUCGUUGUUAAUACUGCAUGAAUUUUUGGACGUAUUUUCUAUUCAUCCGAAUGUUUUGCAACAGAUAUAGAAGGAAAGAAAAAACCAGAAAACAAAUUUUACGAAGGUUGAUAUAUCGAUUAAUUCUAAGCAUGCAGUAGCGUUAUUUUUUUUUUAAGAUAAUCAUAGACAUAUAUUAAACGAAAUAUAUUUAUCUGGCAUUUUACACUAUUAUUUUUUAAAAAGUUUGAAUAGUUUUAUUAAUUAGAAAAUAAUUUUAAAAUAUUUAAAGAUUUGUUAGUUUGAAAUAUCACGCAUUAGCGUAGAUAUUAAGCAAGUUAGAAGGUUUUAUCGAUACAAGCUAGAAAGAAAGUUUUUCUCUGACAAAGUUUUCAUCAUCGACUGGUUGAGUGAAACAAUUUUAUUUUUUUUUUUCAAGAACGAUUGUACACGUUAAUUGCUUCCUGUUCUGCGUGAAUCAGUAUUGUUCUUUUUUAGUUACAUUGCAUGCAUACGGUUGCUGCAAGAUCGAAGAUGGCUUUGCAUGUUCCAUUUAAAUCCCGUUUCUUUUACCUGAAACCCUACAUUUCUCAUAUUUUCUUUUGUGGAAACAGCACCUUGUCUGUAUUUUGAAUUUCUAGUCACGGGAUGGUAUGAAUUUUGCAAAGAAUAAAUCCUCGGAAUGCGCGCACGUAACGUAAAAGAAAAAAAAAAUA